rnacentral:rRNA from 1 species
CCUACGGGUGGCAGCAGUGGGGAAUAUUGCACAAUGGGGGAAACCCUGAUGCAGCGACGCCGCGUGAGUGAGGAAGUAUUUCGGUAUGUAAAGCUCUAUCAGCAGGGAAGAAAAUGACGGUACCUGACUAAGAAGCCCCGGCUAUCUACGUGCCAGCAGCCGCGGUAAUACGUAGGGGGCAAGCGUUAUCCGGAUUUACUGGGUGUAAAGGGAGCGUAGACGGAAUUGCAAGUCUGAUGUGAAAAUCCGGGGCCCAACCCCGGAACUGCAUUGGAAACUGUUGAACUGGAGUACAGGAGAGGUAAGCGGAAUUCCUAGUGUAGCGGUGAAAUGCGUAGAUAUUAGGAGGAACACCAGUGGCGAAGGCGGCUUACUGGACUGUAACUGACGUUGAGGCUCGAAAGCGUGGGGAGCAAACAGGAUUAGAUACCCGGGUAGUC